UCACAUGAGCUUUCUUCCUUGCCUUCUUCAUCCUCCAUCUUCAUCCUAAUCUAGAUAAUAAACAAGAAUGGAAAAGCUACACUACUCUAUACUAAGCUAAACUAACACUAGGGAGAUGAAAGAGCUACAUUUCUGCAGACUCCAAGCUUCUCCCGUAUGUCUCUCCCUAUUUUUCUGCUAUGAACUCCAUCUCCUUUUGCUCUAUCUUCUUGGAUCCCCUUCAAUCUUGCAAUCUUGGCUAUUUUAUGAUGAAAGGUUGGUCAAGAAAUGAGGAUUACAUCUCCCUUUUACAGCUGGGAAUGUUUCUCACAUGUAUAGCAUCCCAUGUGAGUUGGUGGAGGUGAAAUUGAGUUUUCCGCGUAAAAAGCAGACUUCUCUGACCACAAUCCGGCCAGGAAUCCGGCCACAAAUCCGGCCAAAUUCCGGCCGGAUUGCUACAGU
rnacentral:lncRNA from 1 species